rnacentral:rRNA from 1 species
UACAGAGGUCUCAAGCGUUUGUUCGGAUUCAUUGGGCGUAAAGGGUGUGUAGGUGGCGCCGUAAGUCGGGUGUGAAAUUUCGGAGCUUAACUCCGAAACUGCAUUCGAUACUGCGGUGCUUGAGGACUGGAGAGGAGACUGGAAUUCAUGGUGUAGCAGUGAAAUGCGUAGAGAUCAUGAGGAAGACCAGUGGCGAAGGCGGGUCUCUGGACAGUUCCUGACGCUGAGGCACGAAGGUCAGGGGAGCAAACGGG